GGUAGGGAUCUGGCUCAGUGGUAGAGCAUCUACUUGGAACCCAGAAGUUCCCAGGUUCCAACCCUGGCCUCUCUA
rnacentral:tRNA from 1 species